GCAGAGACACAGGCAGAGGGAGAAGCAGGCUCCAUGCAGGGAACCUGAUGUGGGACUUGAUCCUAGGACCCCGGGAUCAUGCCCUGGGCCAAAGGUAGGCACUAAACUGCAGAGCCACCCAGGGAUCCCCCAAGUCUCCCAUUUCUAACAUCAGGUCUGUAGGAGUCUAAGAGGUUGAGUACCUUGUCCAAGAUCAGGAGGUGGCAGACCCAGGACUCGGUUCCCAUGAAUCUCAGCACAGAUACUUGUUUUCUACCCUGGAAUGCCUCUUCUCACCCACCAGAGCUACCAGGGACAACACAGAGGCCCGUGGUAGAGAUGCUAGAAAUGUCUCCUUAUACCCAGAUUUCUGUAAUUAGCAGGUGACAGAGUGGAGUAUAUGUCUGAAGACCUUAAAAGACAUGCCCGUGGGGAAUUGUACCACAGACUUUGCAUCUGGACUACAGUAAGCUGUAAAUGAUCGUGAGUUUUGACAAAUUCUACAAUCUAUGCUAAGAUUAAUUUGUCUCUACCCAGUGCCUGCCUCAUUCAGAGUGAUUAACAUGUAUUAACUCACUGAAUCUUCACAGCAAUGCCAUGCAUUGGGUGCUGUGGCUAUGCCCUUCUUACAGAUGAGGAAACUGAGUCCAGAGAGGUAAAGCAAUGUGCCUUAGAUGUUACAGAGGUAGAAAACAGUCCUAGGAUUUGAACCUGGGCAAAUCAUAAGGCCCAUGUUCCUAACUCCUCUGGGUCAUGGACAGGAGGUACUUUCCCCCUUGUCAGGUGCAUACCAGAUAAAGGUGCUUACAGGAAGGGGUACACCUCUUCCAAUAAUUCACAUUAAUGAUCCCACAAAGCCGUAAGGAGGUUGGCAUCAAAAAUAGUGGGUGAUAUAUGUUCACUCCAUUCUGCCAUCUUCAGGCCUCUGAGAGCCUAGGAGAAAGACAUGCUUAGCAGAUUUUGGAAAGAGUCUGGAGGCCUGCUGAGAGUCUUGACAUUCUUGUCUGAAUGACAUUGGCAGUGGCAGCUGUCCAAACACUGUGGUUGACUUUUAAGCCAUUUAA
rnacentral:lncRNA from 1 species